rnacentral:rRNA from 1 species
ACGGAAGGCAGCAGUGAGGAAUAUUGGACAAUGGGGGCAACCCUGAUCCAGCCAAACCGCGUGAGGGAUGAAGGUCCUACGGAUCGUAAACUUCUUUUAUGUGGGAAUAAUUAGCGGAACGAGUUCCGCUUUGAAGGUACCACUUGAAUAAGCAUCGGCUAACUCCGUGCCAGCAGCCGCGGUAAUACGGAGGAUGCAGGCGUUAUCCGGAUUUAUUAGGUUUAAAGGGUGCGCAGGCGGGACAUUAAGUCGGCGGUGAAAUACCGUGGCCCAACCACGGGGCUGCCGUCGAUACUGAUGACCUAGAGUGCGUGUGACGUAGGCGGAAUGUGACGUGUAGCGGUGAAAUGCUUAGAUAUGCCACAGAACACCGAUUGCGAAGGCAGCCUACGAAUGCGUAACUGACGCUCAUGCACGAAAGCGCGGGUAGCGAACAGGAUUAGAUACCCUGGUA